rnacentral:tRNA from 1 species
GGUCGCGGUGGUCGGCGGCGCCGGACUCGCGACCAUCGGUCUCGGCGGCGGCGGAGACCCCGCCGCCGCGCGCGGCUCCCUGCCGCCCGCGACGGC